rnacentral:rRNA from 1 species
GGACUGAGACACGGCCCAGACUCCUACGGGAGGCAGCAGCUAAGAAUCUUCCGCAAUGGGCGAAAGCCUGACGGAGCGACGCCGCGUGGACGAGGAAGGCCGAAAGGUUGUAAAGUCCUUUUCUUAGGGAAGAAUAAAGCGAAGAGUGGAAUGCUUCGCUGAUGACAUUAACUGAGGAAUAAGCCCCGGCCAAUUACGUGCCAACAGCCGCGGUAAUACGUAUGGGGCGAGCGUUGUUCGGAAUUAUUGGGCGUAAAGGGCGUGUAGGCGGUUUCAUAAGCCUGGUGUGAAAUCCCACAGCUCAACUGUGGAUCCGCGCUGGGAACUGUAAGACUAGAGUUUAGGAGGGGAAGCUGGAAUUCCUGGUGUAGGGGUGAAAUCUGUAGAUAUCAGGAAGAACACCGAUGGCGAAGGCAAGCUUCUAGCCAUAGACUGACGCUGAGGCGCGAAAGCGUGGGGAGCGAACAGGAUUAGAUACCCUGGUAGUCCACGCUGUAAACGAUGUGCACUGGGUGUAGGAGACGUUGAGUUUUCUGUGCCGUAGCUAACGCGUUAAGUGCACCGCCUGGGGAGUAUGCUCGCAAGGGUGAAACUCAAAGGAAUUGACGGGGGCCCGCACAAGCGGUGGAGCAUGUGGUUUAAUUCGACGAUACGCGAGGAACCUUACCAGGGCUUGACAUGUACUUGAAGGCUCAAGAGAUUAAGUCGACCUUUAGGGGACGGGUACACAGGUGCUGCAUGGCUGUCGUCAGCUCGUGUCGCGAGAUGUUGGGUUAAGUCCCACAACGAGCGCAACCCUUACUGUCCGUUACCAGCAGGCCUUCGGGCGCUGGGGACUCAGGCAGAACUGCCGGUGACAAACCGGAGGAAGGUGGGGACGACGUCAAGUCAUCAUGGCCCUUAUGUCCUGGGCUACACACGUGCUACAAUGGUCGGUACAAAGCGUUGCGAGACGGUGACGUCCUUAGCAAAUCGCAAAAAGCCGAUCUCAGUUCGGAUUGGAGUCUGAAACCCGACUCCAUGAAGUUGGAAUCGCUAGUAAUCGCGCAUCAGAAUGGCGCGGUGAAUAUGUUCCCGGGCCUUGUACACACCGCCCGUCACACCACCCGAGUUGGGGGUACCCGAAGUCGCUAGUCUAACUCCUCGGAGAGGACGGCGCCGAAGGUAUGCCUGGUAAGGGGGGUGAAGUCGUAACAAGGUA